rnacentral:ncRNA from 1 species
AUAUUCGGGGCAUGGUGUAAUUCCAGACCGGUGGUAAUAGUCCGCGAGCGAUUUAGAAACUAAAUUGCUGAAUUGGUGAAAUUCCAAUACCGAUAGUAAAAGUCUAGAUGAAAGGAUA